UUCCAUUAAUAAGCAUUUCGAUUAUUAGGACCCAAUAAUGAUAUUUGCGCAAGAGGGGAAUCCUUUUUUCAAGAUUAAUAAGGAAAGGUUGAAUUAAAAGCUGAAAAAAGAAAGCAGGUGAACAGCGUCCAGAAAUUGACCAAUAGGCAAAGUCAUGGAAUAAUGCUGAAAGGAAAAAACAUGAACAACUUGCCAGAAACUUACUUCCAGUGAGGGCAAUAGUUGGAUCCCAAGCAAUCACUCUGAAAUAGGGCUUGGUACAAACAUGCCAAUCUCUGGACCAAAAAUCAUUAACCGAGGUGGUUUUAGAUACAUUUCCCAUCAUUAAUGGAUACUCUGCAAUAUCCCAAAUUCCCAGAGGAACAAAAAUAAUGG